AAGUCGAGCGGUAGCACAGAGAGCUUGCUCUCGGGUGACGAGCGGCGGACGGGUGAUUAAUGUCUGGGAAACUGCCUGAUGGAGGGGGAUAACUACUGGAAACGGUAGCUAAUACCGCAUAACGUCGCAAGACCAAAGUGGGGGACCUUCGGGCCUCAUGCCAUCAGAUGUGCCCAGAUGGGAUUAGCUAGUAGGUGGGGUAAUGGCUCACCUAGGCGACGAUCCCUAGCUGGUCUGAGAGGAUGACCAGCCACACUGGAACUGAGACACGGUCCAGACUCCUACGGGAGGCAGCAGUGGGGAAUAUUGCACAAUGGGCGCAAGCCUGAUGCAGCCAUGCCGCGUGUGUGAAGAAGGCCUUCGGGUUGUAAAGCACUUUCAGCGGGGAGGAAGGCGAUAAGGUUAAUAACCUUGGCGAUUGACGUUACCCGCAGAAGAAGCACCGGCUAACUCCGUGCCAGCAGCCGCGGUAAUACGGAGGGUGCAAGCGUUAAUCGGAAUUACUGGGCGUAAAGCGCACGCAGGCGGUCUGUCAAGUCGGAUGUGAAAUCCCCGGGCUCAACCUGGGAACUGCAUUCGAAACUGGCAGGCUAGAGUCUUGUAGAGGGGGGUAGAAUUCCAGGUGUAGCGGUGAAAUGCGUAGAGAUCUGGAGGAAUACCGGUGGCGAAGGCGGCCCCCUGGACAAAGACUGACGCUCAG
rnacentral:rRNA from 1 species